rnacentral:rRNA from 1 species
UUAAGCAUAUCAAUAAGCGGAGGAAAAGAAACCAACAGGGAUUGCCUCAGUAGCGGCGAGUGAAGCGGCAAAAGCUCAAAUUUGAAAUCUGGCGUCUUUGGCGUCCGAGUUGUAAUUUGAAGAAGGUAUCUUUGGGCCCGGCUCUUGUCUAUGUUCCUUGGAACAGGACGUCACAGAGGGUGAGAAUCCCGUGCGAUGAGAUGACCCGGGUCUGUGUAAAGUUCCUUCGACGAGUCGAGUUGUUUGGGAAUGCAGCUCUAAGUGGGUGGUAAAUUCCAUCUAAAGCUAAAUAUUGGCGAGAGACCGAUAGCGAACAAGUACAGUGAUGGAAAGAUGAAAAGAACUUUGAAAAGAGAGUGAAAAAGUACGUGAAAUUGUUGAAAGGGAAGGGCUUGAGAUCAGACUUGGUAUUUUGCAUGUUGCUCUCUCGGGGGCGGCCGCUGCGGUUUACCGGGCCAGCAUCGGUUUGGAGCGGCAGGAUAAUGGCGGAGGAAUGUGGCACGGCUUCUGCUGUGUGUUAUAGCCUCUGACGAUGCUGCCAGCCUAGACCGAGGACUGCGGUUUUUACCUAGGAUGUUGGCAUAAUGAUCUUAAGUCGCCCGUCUUG